UUCUAUCAGCCGGCUAUCGCGCUUUUGGCAACAAAAGUGAGGAAAGUCCGGACAGCAAAGGGCAACACACCGGUUAACGACCGGCGGCCUGCAAAGGCCAGAGAUAGUGCCACAGAAAAUAACUGUCAGCUUCGGCUGAUGAGGGUGAAAACGUGAGGUAAGAGCUCACGGUAAACCAUGGUAACAUGGCUUACGGGUAAACCUUGUGUGCUGAAAUGCCAUGUAAACCGGCGUGCUGAAAAGUAAAGAGCUGCCCGUUCAAAUUCCGCAAGGAUGCGCCGGAGGGUAGGCAGAUUGAAUCAGCCGGUAACGGUUGAUCCAGAUAAAUGAUAGCCGUUCCGGUUUCACCGGGAUAACAGAAUCCGGCUUAUGGCUGAUAGAAUUUU
rnacentral:RNase_P_RNA from 1 species